UUAAAUUGAAGAGUUUGAUCAUGGCUCAGAUUGAACGCUGGCGGCAGGCAUAACACAUGCAAGUCGAACGGUAACAGGAAGCAGCUUGCUGCUU
rnacentral:rRNA from 1 species